CUGACGAGUGGCGACGGGUGAGUAAUGUCUGGGAAACUGCCCGGUGGAGGGGGAUAACUACUGGAAACGGUAGCUAAUACCGUAUAACGUCGCAAGACCAAAGAGGGGGACCUUCGGGCCUCUUGCCACCGGAUGUGCCCAGAUGGGAUUAGCUUGUUGGUGAGGUAACGGCUCACCAAGGCGACGAUCCCUAGCUGGUCUGAGAGGAUGACCAGCCACACUGGAACUGAGACACGGUCCAGACUCCUACGGAAGGCAGCAG
rnacentral:rRNA from 1 species